rnacentral:rRNA from 1 species
CAGUCGCCGCGGUAAAACGAAGGGGGCUAGCGUUGUUCGGAUUUACUGGGCGUAAAGCGCACGUAGGCGGACUUUUAAGUCAGGGGUGAAAUCCCGGGGCUCAACCCCGGAACUGCCUUUGAUACUGGAAGUCUUGAGUAUGGUAGAGGUGAGUGGAAUUCCGAGUGUAGAGGUGAAAUUCGUAGAUAUUCGGAGGAACACCAGUGGCGAAGGCGGCUCACUGGACCAUUACUGACGCUGAGGUGCGAAAGCGUGGGGAGCAAACAGGAUUAGAUACCCCUGUAGUCCCUGUCUCUUAUAA